GUCUACGGCCAUGUCACCCUGAACGUGCCCGAUCCUGUCUGAUCUCAGAAGCUAAGCAGGGUUGGGCCUGGUUAGUACUUGGAUGGGAGACUGCCCAGGAAGACCAGGUGCUGUAGGCG
rnacentral:rRNA from 1 species